GUAUUCUGCACGGACUGCUGGGCAGCACUAGCACUCUGGAGAAGGUCUGCCGCUGUCUGCACUUUCCUGGUUCUAUGCAGGCAGAUGAGUGUCACAGCUGUAACUGAGGCACAGAGCAGUACACACAGUGGAGCCGAUUUCCGCGAUGGCGAGAGGGGGCACCGGAGGUGACAACAAUAACAAGACUGUCCUUCGGACAAGUUUUAGAUUCUCAGGAUGAUGGAGUGAGUGAUGGAAUAGGUUGCCAACUGUAGUUACUCCACUCAGCACAGAAUGGCUGCGGGGAAAUAUAAUCAGACAUGCCCAAAGAAGUCUGCUUAGGGUGAAACAAAUACCUUUGAGGUUUAAAUCAGAAAGGAAGGAGAGACUGUUUCUACAGGUGUCAUACAAAAAUCAAUACUGAGCCAAGGAUUAUUGGAUCCCAUAGAACCACGGAGACUUGGUAGUGAAAUUCUUCCAAAGCAUUCCAUCCGUGCAGGCAGAUGGUGUUCCUAGGUUUGGAAAUAUAAAUCCCAUGGGAAGUCAGCUGAAGACCAUUUUAUGCAUCACUCAUCCUGUUAGAGCCCUGUGCUGUUCUGUCUCUCUAUAAGACUGGCUGAAACCACCACGGUUGUUUACAAUUUAUGCUCUAACUUUGGAUCACCUAGUUAAUACUCUAACUCCGAUUAUUACCAAAGACAAUGUUCUAUAAAAGAUAUUGUCUAUUAGAAGGAUGCUUCUGCAUUAUUAAUAAAAUCACAGGGAAAAUGCAACAUUUUGGAUGUCACAUCUGAUAAGUUGGCAGUUAAAGAACAGAAACAGCAAUAAGACUGCGUGGCUACAUUUUCCCAGUGCCACCAACUGGGAUUUAAGCUGACUAACAUUUUGAAAGCCCAGCCCAUUUCAUUCACAGCAGGAUGGCAGUGGGUGACUGAUCGUACCCGCCAGCUGGCUAAUGUCAUAAUUAACAAAGUUGCUACUACAUCUGCAAAGUUUAAUCGAAAAAUUUGCCAGUGAUAUGAUGGCCUUGUCACAGAGAUCACAAGGGACACGGAGUUGACUUUUGCUCAAGGUGGAACGACAGAGCUGUGUAGGCAAGAUGAGAAAUUGCGAACUUGUUCGGCCAAAGGAACGACUAUGCUCUGGAGAGUCCUGUAAUUUGCAGAAAAUGGACCAAGAUAACAUUUGAGUUCCAUGCUACCAAAAUCCUCUUGAGAAGGACAGCUAGCUACCCAGAAUAUUUAACAUUGUGACAUUGAAAUGUUGGAUGAACGAUUAAAAUGAAGAAUCUAGUCAUAGGUUGUAAGAAAUCGCUAAAUUAUUAUGUUUAAUCCAAAGAAGAGAAAGGAAAAGCUGUUUUCAUUCCCCCCAGCCUCUGAGGAGGCUAAUAAUGAAGGGGCCGGGAAGGAGGCCAGUGCUACCAGGGUUAUCUCACAACCUCAGAUGCUGGAUAAGUCGACGGAGGCAGAAUCGCUUUGGGAUGACAUUCAGAAAGCCUGGAGUGAUUACUUGCAAGAGAAAAGCCUACCUAUUCUUUCCAAGGUGCAGGAAUAUUCCCCUGACCUGCUCAUCCAGUGGUCCAGUAAUGAAUUACUGGAGACCUGCCUUAGACAAAGAAUGCACUCGGAGCCCCAACACACCUAAAGCCAUGCUUUGAAGGAUCUGCCAAGCUCACUUUUAAUCAUGAGAAAGAAAUUACCCACACGGAGUCAGCAGAAAAUGAGAAAGUAGAGCUCGUGCUGUGAAUAAUUCCAGCAAGUGCCAAGGGGCUAGUUGAGGAAUGGCUUCAUGAGAUGUUAGUCUAAAACAGCACCUUGGAUCUAAGCAGCACCUUUGAGAAAGAAAAGACUGCUUCAAGAAUGUCUAGUUGCACCUCCUUUCCGUAUGUGGCCUAAAUGCCUAGGUUGGAUCAAUAGUUUAAUUUUUUUAUUGAACUGUUUAAUAUUGACUAUGGACUUACAUUCACUUUUACUGUUUUCUGUAUAUUUACUUUUGCUUGAAGUGUUUUAAUAUUGACUAUUUACCUCUGCUCAUUUUUAUUGAUUUUCUGUAUUUUUUCAAUGAAAAUUAUAAUAAAAAUUAUUUUUGUUA
rnacentral:lncRNA from 1 species